rnacentral:rRNA from 1 species
GACGAACGCUGGCGGCGUGCCUAAUACAUGCAAGUUGAGCGCUGAAGGUUGGUACUUGUACCGACUGGAUGAGCAGCGAACGGGUGAGUAACGCGUGGGGAAUCUGCCUUUGAGCGGGGGACAACAUUUGGAAGCGAAUGCUAAUACCGCAUAAAAACUUUAAACACAAGUUUUAAGUUUGAAAGAUGCAAUUGCAUCACUCAAAGAUGAUCCCGCGUUGUAUUAGCUAGUUGGUGAGGUAAAGGCUCACCAAGGCGAUGAUACAUAGCCGACCUGAGAGGGUGAUCGGCCACAUUGGGACUGAGACACGGCCCAAACUCCUACGGGAGGCAGCAGUAGGGAAUCUUCGGCAAUGGACGUAAGUCUGACCGAGCAACGCCGCGUGAGUGAAGAAGGUUUUCGGAUCGUAAAACUCUGUUGGCAGAGAAGAACGUUGGUGAGAGUGGAAAGCUCAUCAAGUGACGGUAACUACCCAGAAAGGGACGGCUAACUACGUG